rnacentral:lncRNA from 1 species
CCAGAAAUGGCUUUGCUGCCGAAUGCAUUAUCUUGCCAUUUUCGUGUCCCAAUACUGAACAAACGAUCGCCUGAUCGAUCGGCUGUUGUCCAGCUCUAAUGAUGUCCUAGAGCAGAAGUGUUUCUUCUGAUGUCUCAUUUUAACAAGAGGAUGAUGUCUGUGUAUGUCUCUGUGUUUUAGAGAGGCUGGCAAAUGCUGCUAAGAGGAUCUGAGGUUCACAUAAAGAGGAUGAAAAUUCUGAAUUACUUUCAUUGCAAAUAAACCUUAACAAUUGUGAGAGUUAGAGAGCAUACUUUUCACAUAAGACUUUGGUAUGCUGCCUAAAGCUACUUACAUAAUUUGCUAUUCAGAGAAAUGCAUUUGUUUAUUGAGGACCCACCCGGACUUAAAUUGGAAAAAUGUAACAUUCAGAUUUUUAUUUUAUAUGUGAAAUAAAUGUGUGAUUGCUGUUCUUAAAAAUUUGAAAAAAAAA